rnacentral:rRNA from 1 species
CCUACGGGAGGCAGCAGUGGGGAAUAUUGCGCAAUGGGCGAAAGCCUGACGCAGCGACGCCGCGUGAGGGAUGAAGGUCUUCGGAUCGUAAAACUCUGUCAGCAGGGCAGAACGGUCACUGUGCUAAUCAGCAGUGAAUUGACGGUACCUGCAAAGGAAGCACCGGCUAACUCCGUGCCAGCAGCCGCGGUAAUACGGAGGGUGCGAGCGUUAAUCGGAAUUACGGGGCGUAAAGCGCUCGUAGGAUGGAUGUCAAGUCAAGGGUGAAAUCCCCGCGCUCAACGUGGGAACUGCCUUUGAAACUGGCAAACUGGAGUGUGUGAGAGGAUAGUGGAAUUCCAGGUGUAGGAGUGAAAUCCGUAGAUAUCUGGAGGAACAUCAGUGGCGAAGGCGACUAUCUGGCACAUAACUGACGCUGAGGAGCGAAAGCGUGGGUAGCAAACAGGAUUAGAUACCCCAGUAGUC